GGGUUGUGAGGUUAAGCGACUAAGCGUACACGGUGGAUGCCCUGGCAGUCAGAGGCGAUGAAGGACGUGCUAAUCUGCGAUAAGCGUCGGUAAGGUGAUAUGAACCGUUAUAACCGGCGAUUUCCGAAUGGGGAAACCCAGUGUGAUUCGUCACACUAUCAUUAACUGAAUCCAUAGGUUAAUGAGGCGAACCGGGGGAACUGAAACAUCUAAGUACCCCGAGGAAAAGAAAUCAACCGAGAUUCCCCCAGUAGCGGCGAGCGAACGGGGAGGAGCCCAGAGCCUGAAUCAGUGUGUGUGUUAGUGGAAGCGUCUGGAAAGGCGCGCGAUACAGGGUGACAGCCCCGUACACAAAAAUGCACAUGCUGUGAGCUCGAUGAGUAGGGCGGGACACGUGGUAUCCUGUCUGAAUAUGGGGGGACCAUCCUCCAAGGCUAAAUACUCCUGACUGACCGAUAGUGAACCAGUACCGUGAGGGAAAGGCGAAAAGAACCCCGGCGAGGGGAGUGAAAAAGAACCUGAAACCGUGUACGUACAAGCAGUGGGAGCCUCUUUAUGGGGUGACUGCGUACCUUUUGUAUAAUGGGUCAGCGACUUAUAUUCUGUAGCAAGGUUAACCGAAUAGGGGAGCCGAAGGGAAACCGAGUCUUAACUGGGCGUUAAGUUGCAGGGUAUAGACCCGAAACCCGGUGAUCUAGCCAUGGGCAGGUUGAAGGUUGGGUAACACUAACUGGAGGACCGAACCGACUAAUGUUGAAAAAUUAGCGGAUGACUUGUGGCUGGGGGUGAAAGGCCAAUCAAACCGGGAGAUAGCUGGUUCUCCCCGAAAGCUAUUUAGGUAGCGCCUCGUGAAUUCAUCUCCGGGGGUAGAGCACUGUUUCGGCAAGGGGGUCAUCCCGACUUACCAACCCGAUGCAAACUGCGAAUACCGGAGAAUGUUAUCACGGGAGACACACGGCGGGUGCUAACGUCCGUCGUGAAGAGGGAAACAACCCAGACCGCCAGCUAAGGUCCCAAAGUCAUGGUUAAGUGGGAAACGAUGUGGGAAGGCCCAGACAGCCAGGAUGUUGGCUUAGAAGCAGCCAUCAUUUAAAGAAAGCGUAAUAGCUCACUGGUCGAGUCGGCCUGCGCGGAAGAUGUAACGGGGCUAAACCAUGCACCGAAGCUGCGGCAGCGACGCUUAUGCGUUGUUGGGUAGGGGAGCGUUCUGUAAGCCUGCGAAGGUGUACUGUGAGGUAUGCUGGAGGUAUCAGAAGUGCGAAUGCUGACAUAAGUAACGAUAAAGCGGGUGAAAAGCCCGCUCGCCGGAAGACCAAGGGUUCCUGUCCAACGUUAAUCGGGGCAGGGUGAGUCGACCCCUAAGGCGAGGCCGAAAGGCGUAGUCGAUGGGAAACAGGUUAAUAUUCCUGUACUUGGUGUUACUGCGAAGGGGGGACGGAGAAGGCUAUGUUGGCCGGGCGACGGUUGUCCCGGUUUAAGCGUGUAGGCUGGUUUUCCAGGCAAAUCCGGAAAAUCAAGGCUGAGGCGUGAUGACGAGGCACUACGGUGCUGAAGCAACAAAUGCCCUGCUUCCAGGAAAAGCCUCUAAGCAUCAGGUAACAUCAAAUCGUACCCCAAACCGACACAGGUGGUCAGGUAGAGAAUACCAAGGCGCUUGAGAGAACUCGGGUGAAGGAACUAGGCAAAAUGGUGCCGUAACUUCGGGAGAAGGCACGCUGAUACGUAGGUGAAGCGACUUGCUCGUGGAGCUGAAAUCAGUCGAAGAUACCAGCUGGCUGCAACUGUUUAUUAAAAACACAGCACUGUGCAAACACGAAAGUGGACGUAUACGGUGUGACGCCUGCCCGGUGCCGGAAGGUUAAUUGAUGGGGUUAGCGGUAACGCGAAGCUCUUGAUCGAAGCCCCGGUAAACGGCGGCCGUAACUAUAACGGUCCUAAGGUAGCGAAAUUCCUUGUCGGGUAAGUUCCGACCUGCACGAAUGGCGUAAUGAUGGCCAGGCUGUCUCCACCCGAGACUCAGUGAAAUUGAACUCGCUGUGAAGAUGCAGUGUACCCGCGGCAAGACGGAAAGACCCCGUGAACCUUUACUAUAGCUUGACACUGAACAUUGAGCCUUGAUGUGUAGGAUAGGUGGGAGGCUUUGAAGUGUGGACGCCAGUCUGCAUGGAGCCGACCUUGAAAUACCACCCUUUAAUGUUUGAUGUUCUAACGUUGGCCCCUAAUCGGGGUUGCGGACAGUGUCUGGUGGGUAGUUUGACUGGGGCGGUCUCCUCCUAAAGAGUAACGGAGGAGCACGAAGGUUGGCUAAUCCUGGUCGGACAUCAGGAGGUUAGUGCAAUGGCAUAAGCCAGCUUGACUGCGAGCGUGACGGCGCGAGCAGGUGCGAAAGCAGGUCAUAGUGAUCCGGUGGUUCUGAAUGGAAGGGCCAUCGCUCAACGGAUAAAAGGUACUCCGGGGAUAACAGGCUGAUACCGCCCAAGAGUUCAUAUCGACGGCGGUGUUUGGCACCUCGAUGUCGGCUCAUCACAUCCUGGGGCUGAAGUAGGUCCCAAGGGUAUGGCUGUUCGCCAUUUAAAGUGGUACGCGAGCUGGGUUUAGAACGUCGUGAGACAGUUCGGUCCCUAUCUGCCGUGGGCGCUGGAGAACUGAGGGGGGCUGCUCCUAGUACGAGAGGACCGGAGUGGACGCAUCACUGGUGUUCGGGUUGUCAUGCCAAUGGCACUGCCCGGUAGCUAAAUGCGGAAGAGAUAAGUGCUGAAAGCAUCUAAGCACGAAACUUGCCCCGAGAUGAGUUCUCCCUGACUCCUUGAGAGUCCUGAAGGAACGUUGAAGACGACGACGUUGAUAGGCCGGGUGUGUAAGCGCAGCGAUGCGUUGAGCUAACCGGUACUAAUGAACCGUGAGGCUUAACCUUACAACGCCGAAGCUGUU
rnacentral:rRNA from 1 species